GAUGAACGCUGGCGGCGUGCUUAACACAUGCAAGUCGAACGGGACUUGUUAAGUUGAAACUUCGGUCGAUUCUUUUCAAGUCUAGUGGCGGACGGGUGAGUAACGCGUGGGUAACCUGCCUCACACUGGGGGAUAACAGUCAGAAAUGACUGCUAAUACCGCAUAAGCGCACAGCAUCGCAUGAUGCAGGGGUAAAAACUCCGGUGGUAUGAGAUGGAUCCGCGUCUGAUUAGCUAGUUGGUAAGGUAACGGCUUACCAAGGCAACGAUCAGUAGCCGACCUGAGAGGGUGACCGGCCACAUUGGGACUGAGACACGGCCCAA
rnacentral:rRNA from 1 species